AACCUUGUCAUCUCAACCAAGAAUAUUCAAAAGACCGCCCAAAGGGGCAAAUGCUAGAACAAGUACAUGGCCUUAAGGCAUUAGUUAAGAACUAAAUGCCACAAGGGUAGAUAAUAAGGACAGGUCAAAAAAUGAAAACCCUAUAAAAGGACCCUCAAGAAACUCAGAAUGACAUAACCAAGGACAAGAACCUAGAGACAAGGUAAGAAAAAUGAAUUUUGGGGGACAAAGGGGAGAAUUUGUAAGACCCCAAGUAAGGUUAAGACACUCGAGUAGGUUAAAGUUGUAAGAGACCCAAGGAAAGUUAAGGAGACCCAAAAAAGAUAUUCUCAAUGACCUUGCAAAGUUUGAUAGGGAUGGAAAAGGUUUGGAAAAGAAAUAGUUAACUUAAAAGGUAAAAAGGUUGUAACACCAAGAAAAGAACUUAUAGACCCUAAGAACCCGCCUUGUACAAGAAGGAACAAAAGGAACCUCUAAGAUAUAACCUUGAAGGAACCAUGUUCAUUAUGUCAAGGUUUGUUGAACAUAAAGAAUAAGAUAAGCUCUAAGAUAUAAGUAACAAACGAAUGACCAAGGAAGACUUGUUAAUCUCAAUAAAAGAUAUUGAGAAGACAGACAAAGGGGGCAAAUGGCUUAAGGCUUAAGUUGGCAAAUUAUAAAGAUAUGUGGGAGAAGUUCAAACCUAUAAAAGGACCUUCAAGAAACUUGGAAGGAUAUACUAAAGGCCACACGGGCAAAUUAUAAGGAUAUGUUGGAGAAGUUCAAACCUAUAAAAGGACCCUCAAGAAACUUGGAAGGACAUAAGUGAGGGCAAGUCACAAAAAAAGAAAAAAAAUAUGUCAAUUUUCCAAUUUUAGGUAAACUUCUCGAACUUUUAAUUUCUUAUGGGAAGAAAUUUCAAGAUGCUCGAAGGGAAAAAUGAAGGGGAAAAUGAAUAGAUUUGGAUAGUGUUUGGAUUUUUCGAAUAAAAAAUUCAAAAUGUGAAAAAUUACCAAAAUACCCUAAACUUCCAAUUAUUUACAAAAAUGCCCCUGACUAGAAAUCUUUCCAGAUUGGUUUACAGCCGGGGUCAUCUGGACAAAAUCUUUCAUAUCUCAAGAUUCAAUUAUUGAAUUUGUUCCAAAUAUGGAUAUGAUCUGGAAGACUCAUGUUCAAAUCUAACGACUGGUGUUGAAAAAUGACGUUGGAAACAUCCUCAUCGAAGUAGAUUUUUCCAAUGGACCUUCCUUUAGUUUCAAGUUUAAAAUCAGCACUAUUUUGUAUGUUUCUAGUUCGUUGCAAGCUUCAUCCACAAAUGGUAAAAUGUGGGCAACGUUUAGGGAUAAGAGUGGAGGCUCGAGAGUAGAAGGAACCUCUAAAAGACCCUUAGAACCCCCCUUGUACAAAAAGAAACAAAAAGAAGAACAAGGUAAAUGGAAUAGGUGUUUGUUGAACUCGGCUCGGUCUCUCUUUGCUUUCCUUUGACUCUAAGAUACAAUCUUGAAGGAACAAUAUCGAUUAUGUCAAGACUUGUUGACCAUAAAAAGAUAAGCUCUAGGAUAUAAGGAAACUUCGGCCAAGGAAGACUAUUUAAUCUCAACAAUAAAUUAUCACGAUAGAAAUAUGGGUGUGCAAGAUGUAUACUACGUCAGCUACCUUGUGUUAAAGUCAUGGCUUGGUCAUCUGAUGAAGGGAAAGAGCUCCAAUAGAAUUUGAAAACCUUAAGAGAUGCUUUUUGCACCAUUUUCUAUUGAACCUACGACAUUAUAAUUUCAUUCGUUUCAUUUAAAACAGGUUUUUCUUAUUUUCCUUGGUUAGGUAAAAAUACUAAUUUCAGGCACGACUUUUGUUUUGUCUUUAUUAUAUUUUACAUUUUA